rnacentral:rRNA from 1 species
UGGUGACCAGCGGAGGGAUCAUUACCGAGUUUACAACUCCCAAACCCCUGUGAACAUACCUUACUGUUGCCUCGGCGGAUCAGCCCGCUCCCGGUAAAACGGGACGGCCCGCCAGAGGACCCCUAAACUCUGUUUCUAUAUGUAACUUCUGAGUAAAACCAUAAAUAAAUCAAAACUUUCAACAACGGAUCUCUUGGUUCUGGCAUCGAUGAAGAACGCAGCAAAAUGCGAUAAGUAAUGUGAAUUGCAGAAUUCAGUGAAUCAUCGAAUCUUUGAACGCACAUUGCGCCCGCCAGUAUUCUGGCGGGCAUGCCUGUUCGAGCGUCAUUUCAACCCUCAAGCCCUCGGGUUUGGUGUUGGGGAUCGGCGAGCCUUUCUGGCAAGCCGGCCCCGAAAUCUAGUGGCGGUCUCGCUGCAGCCUCCAUUGCGUAGUAGUAAAACCCUCGCAACUGGAACGCGGCGCGGCCAAGCCGUUAAACCCCCAACUUCUGAAUGUUGACCUCGGAUCAGGUAGGAAUACCCGCUGAACUUAAGCAUAUCAAUAAGCGGAGGAAAAGAAACCAACAGGGAUUGCCCUAGUAACGGCGAGUGAAGCGGCAACAGCUCAAAUUUGAAAUCUGGCUCUCGGGCCCGAGUUGUAAUUUGUAGAGGAUGCUUUUGAUGCGGUGCCUUCCGAGUUCCCUGGAACGGGACGCCAUAGAGGGUGAGAGCCCCGUCUGGUUGGAUGCCAAAUCUCUGUAAAGCUCCUUCAACGAGUCGAGUAGUUUGGGAAUGCUGCUCUAAAUGGGAGGUAUAUGUCUUCUAAAGCUAAAUACCGGCCAGAGACCGAUAGCGCACAAGUAGAGUGAUCGAAAGAUGAAAAGCACUUUGAAAAGAGAGUUAAAAAGUACGUGAAAUUGUUGAAAGGGAAGCGUUUAUGACCAGACUUGGACUUGGUUAAUCAUCUGGGGUUCUCCCCAGUGCACUUUUCCAGUUCAGGCCAGCAUCAGUUUUCCCCGGGGGAUAAAGGCGGCGGGAAUGUGGCUCUCUUCGGGGAGUGUUAUAGCCCGCCGUGUAAUACCCUGGGGGGGACUGAGGUUCGCGCAUCUGC